CCUACGGGAGGCAGCAGUGGGGAAUAUUGGGCAAUGGGCGCAAGCCUGACCCAGCAACGCCGCGUGAAGGAAGAAGGCUUUCGGGUUGUAAACUUCUUUUGUCAGGGAAGAGUAGAAGACGGUACCUGACGAAUAAGCCACGGCUAACUACGUGCCAGCAGCCGCGGUAAUACGUAGGUGGCAAGCGUUGUCCGGAUUUACUGGGUGUAAAGGGCGUGUAGCCGGGUUGACAAGUCAGAUGGGAAAUCCUGCGGCUUAACCGCAGAACUGCAUUUGAAACUGUUGAUCUUGAGUAGUGGAGAGGCAGAUGGAAUUCCUAGUGUAGCGGUGAAAUGCGUAGAUAUUAGGAGGAACACCGGUGGCGAAGGCGGUCUGCUGGACAGCAACUGACGGUGAGGCGCGAAAGCGUGGGGAGCAAACAGGAUUAGAUACCCGAGUAGUC
rnacentral:rRNA from 1 species